rnacentral:sRNA from 1 species
CACACGCAGGAAUGGCGUCGGUCUGCCCGGAUGAAAAGGGCAGGCUUCACGCUCCGGUGCUUAAAGCGAUUUAGGCCGAAAUCCUGCGGAGGUUUAACCGGAAAAUAAGGAAAAAU